rnacentral:rRNA from 1 species
GACGAACGCUGGCGGCGUGCUUAACACAUGCAAGUCGAACGGAAAGGCCCUGCUUGCAGGGUACUCGAGUGGCGAACGGGUGAGUAACACGUGGGUGAUCUGCCCUGCACUUCGGGAUAAGCCUGGGAAACUGGGUCUAAUACCGGAUAGGAGCCAUUUUUAGUGUGAUGGUUGGAAAGUUUUUUCGGUGUAGGAUGAGCUCGCGGCCUAUCAGCUUGUUGGUGGGGUAAUGGCCUACCAAGGCGGCGACGGGUAGCCGGCCUGAGAGGGUGGACGGCCACAUUGGGACUGAGAUACAGCCCAGACUCCUACGGGAGGCAGCAGGGGGGAAUAUUGCACAAUGGGCGCAAGCCUGAUGCAGCGACGCCGCGGGGGGGAUGACGGCCUUCGGGUUGUAAACUCCUUUCGCUAGGGACGAAGCUUUUUGUGACGGUACCUAGAUAAGAAGCACCGGCUAACUACGUG